GGUCCAGAAUGAUUUGAUUACCAGACGUGUCUGUUUGAAUCACAUGUCACACCUCACAGGCUAGCUACAUGCUAAAUAAGCAGAUGGUCUUUGAAAAAUGGCAGGGGUUUGUGUGUAUUUAUGAUGUGUUUCCAUGGUGAAGACUAGUGUGUGUUUGUGUGUAGUUCUGAUGUGUUUCCAUGGUGAAGACUAGUGUGUGUUUGUGUGUAGUUCUGAUGUGUUUCCAUGGUGAAGACUAGUGUGUGUUUGUGUGUAGUUCUGAUGUGUUUACAUGGUGAAGACUAGAGUGUGUUUGUUUGUUCUGAUGUGUUUACGUGAUGAAGUCUAGUGUGUGUUUGUGUGUAGUUAUGAUGUUUACGUGGUUAAGACUAGUGUGUGUGUGUGUGUGUGUAGUUAUGAUGUUUACGUGAUGAAGUCUAGUGUGUGUUUGUGUGUAGUUCUGAUGUGUUUCCAUGGUGAAGACUAGUGUGUGUCAUUGUUGGGUUA
ensembl:lncRNA